AGCUCGUGUUUGUGCUCCUCCAGGAGGUCAACGUCACUCUUCUCCGGGAUGAACUUGAGGAGCUGCAAAGAGCAGGGGCACRUCAGACAAGAACCUGGUUUCUCUUAAAGGACACAGCAAAUUGAGGUAGAAGAGAUUUGGGGAAGAUGUGACCACUGUUCACCCUGAGUUUGCUUUGAGACCUCAUACCUCCUUCCAGAGGCCUCAAGGAUCCCUGGCAGCCUUUUCCAGGCUUCCCCCAGAAAGCAAGGUCCUCCUGCUCAUCCAUCUUCAAAAUGGCCUGCCGGAUCUCCUCGUUAGAAAGCUUCAACCUGAGACAAAGCCCACCGCUGAGCAGCCCGGUCUGGCCCCUCAGCUAAGACACCCCCAAACUUCUUCUCCAGACGACACAGCCUCAGCCUCUUAUCUGUCCUGAACGUGGACUUGGGAGUAUUGCUGAUGGCGCUGUGUCCACGCCUUAUUCGUCUAAACUAAUACGAGUCAACCCAUCUACUUGAAAACAGCCCCAUCUUGGACCCGUGCUCCCUGGAGGGCCCACUCUUUCCCAGCAGAACCUCUCUUGGAGGGGCCUUAGGGACAGGGCUAGCACCUA